rnacentral:lncRNA from 1 species
AAAAUACGGUUGUAAUAGAAGUAGUUAAAACAGAAAAGCAGUAUGGUUGUAGAGUGGGGUGGCGGGGAGGUAUAUGUGUAUUUAAUCUUGAGAACCAAUGCUUUUGGAAAACAGCCCGAAGGGACAAGAGACUAGGUAGAGACUGGCGAGGUUCCUGAAAGUCCUGGGUUACCUGUGAAAUGCCAAAGAUUUUUAAAGUUUGCUGGCAGUGGUUAUUAUAUGUAGUUUUACUUCCAAAUUUGAAGAUUUCCUCUUCUUUGAUGCAAGUGUGUUGGUAGGACCACUGAUAAUAGUUAGUGGAGAUAUUUGUGGGAAUAUAUUUUUAAUCAGAAAGAAUGCAAAAAGAGGGGGAGACAUUUCUUUGAGACACCUUAAUGACACUGGGAACAGUAGAAGGUGGAAAGAGAUCAGAGUGUGGGAAAGAUGUGCCUGAGAUGAAAUUAUCUGAAUUCUGAAUGUGGGGGAGAAGAUGAGGAGAGGGUUGAGGGGGAGGAGAGAUGACUAAGCUCCUCACAGUGUUUCAUUAACUGUCUUUUACCUAAAGGAGGAAUCUUCUUAAUGAAGAUUGGUUGAUGCAUCAUACUGGUCAUCAAGUAAGUUCUUAUAAAUGCAAGUUUGAUUGUUUUGAAGGGAAGGAUAUAGGAAGGCUGGAUAAUCAGCUACAUUUAGAUAUGGAACACUACAGGAUGUCGGCAUUUAUUGUUGUAAAUUCCUUUGGUGAAAAACGUUAUCACUUGUUUGUGACUAGCCUGGGCAAUAUAGUGAGACCUUGUCUCUAAAAAAAAUUUUAUUAAUAAGAAAAAUUAGCCGGGCAUAGUAGCGUGCCUGUAGUGCCCCCCACUGCCCUGGACACGCCCCCACUUCCAAAAAAACAAACACCCAACUCACUUCUGCCUUUUCCUUGGAUUCUACACUUUCUCUCAGGAUAUCUUUCCGAUUGAGUCUUGCCUCAUUUAUGUGAAUGCUGUGCCUGUUCUUUUUUUCAACAGAGUCUUACGUAAAGAACCGUACAAACUUAGUAAAGAGUUUAAGUCCUGCUUUAAACCAAGUUUCAGUUCAUGUAAACAUCCUACACUCAGCUGUAAUACAUGGAUUGGCUGGGAGGUGGAUGUUUACUUCAGCUGACUUGGAAUGUCAACCAAUUAACAUUGAUAAAAGAUUUGGCAAGAAUAGUAUACAGAGGCUUGAAUUUUUAAUGUAAUUAAUGUAAUUAAAGGUUUGUUGGAAAUGUGAGACCAUUUUGUUCUCCCAGAGAAAAAGUGUGUUAAUUGUCUAGCUGGCAGGGAUCUACUUGAAUAUGUUUGCAGAGAAAAGCAGAAGAAAGCAUGGUUGCAGUAGGAGUAGUUAAAACAGAAAAACAGUAUGCUUAUAGAGGAAAAAUUACUCUAAAUUUAUUAAAAUUCCUUUAAAUUUGUUACUCAAUUUAAAUUUUUAUUGUAUCUUUUCAAUUUUGCUAUAGCACUAACAUGACAUAAGGCUCUGGGUAUUGGGACAAAAGAAUGCCCUUGUUUGGUAGUUGGGGUCGGGUUUGUAGUAUUGCAGUGUGCUUUAACAAGCAUGGGCUUUGACAUCAGACAUUUGUUGCCAUCUGGACUCCACAAGUGAAUUUGCUACGGGAUUUGGAGGAGGGAAAGGCACUGUUUCCAUACCUCAGUGGUUUUCUCAUCUGUAAAAUAAGUAUGUGAUUGCAUGGAUUGACUUACAUGAUGAAUAUAAAGUUGUUCAUUAGUACAGUACCUGUCAUAUUAAGUACUCAAUAAAUGCUAGUUAUUAUUAAUGCUGUGUUGUAGGUGUUCAGUAAAUAGUUGCCAUAAUGCUUAAAGCAGACAUAACUUGUUUUUAUUUUUGCAAUAAAGAUGAUGCCAACUUUUUGGUUUAAUGGAAAUGCUUUGAAUCUUUGAUAUUGUUGUAAUAUAGUGGCAAAGAAUUUUGAAUCCCAGCUUCUGGAGCUCAUAUCUUGAUUCUGCGAGUUACUUCGCUAUGUUACUUUGGGGGAAGUUAUUAAUCUCUCUGUGCCUCAGUUUCCUCAGUCGACUAAAUUGAAAUUAUAAUAGCACCUACCUGAUAGGAUUGUUGAGACUAAAUGAGGUAACAAUUUAAAAAUAAGCUAAUACCUGAUAAUUAGUUCUAUAUAUGUACUGAUUGGUCUAAACGUUAUUUCCAUUUUCAUGUCUUUACUUAAAAUACUGAAAAUUAAUUUUUUAUAGCUUUGUUUUUCAGUUCCAUGAAAUCAGCCUGCCUUUUCUUUUUUUGGUGAUACAUCCACAUUCUGUAUAGGUGAAAAGCAAAACAAACAAGUAUAAAACGAAAAUUAUGUAAGAAGUACACACAUCCUAGCAGCUUGGCAAGUGUCUGUAUGCUCUUGCCUGUGCCUAAAUCCAGAAUUAGAAUUCAUGCUUGGUGCUCCUGUGGAAGAUGUCUAAAUGUUAUGAGAAAUACAUGAUUAAAUAAAAAUGUGAAAUGAAAGCAUGGAGACUUGUUGAAGGGGUAUCCACCAUGAUUAUAUAUGAUGGGGAGGAAAGGGAUUACUCCAUUUCUGCCCCUGCAGUCUGUAGGCAUGAUUGAUUACAUCAUUGGUCGCCGGUGAUUAACUCAGUCUCCAAGCCCUGUCGUGUCCCUGGAGGUUGGAGGGUGGCACUGAAAGCUCCAACCAUCUCAUCAUGCUUUGAUCUUUCCGAUGACCAGACCCCACCCUGAAGCUAUCUACGGGUCCCCAGCAACAUUCAUUUCGUUAUCAUACAAAUGACAUUCUUACAAUUUCAGAGAUUCCAAGGGCUUUAGGAAAUGGAGAUGAAGAGCAAAUAUAUAUUUCACAAUAUCACAAACAUACCCUUGGGAAUUAGACCUCUGAUCUAAUCUAGGCUCCCUCACUUGCCAUUUUUGUGACCUUGAACAAGUUGUUCAUCUUUUCUGGAUAGUUCUCUGUUAAAAAAAUUAAAAUAAAAAAAUGGUGGCUAUCAGGUUGUUAGGAGGACUAGAUAAGAGAACUAUGUGAAGGACCCUGCACAGUGCUAGCAACAAAGUUGUUUAGUAAGUGCUAUUUCAAUUUAUUUUGCUUCCAAGCUCAUGUGAGCUCCCUCAGUGUGUACCACCAAAUCACAUGAUGUGUAUCCCAGUCAAAUCUUAAAGGUCAUCCACCUUGAAUCUUUAAGUUAAUUAACGUGUGUUUUUAAAACUGCAUUAUAAGAACGUUAGGGUUUUUGUUUUGAUCCUAUGGAAGUUAAAUUUUUUACACAAGCAUUCAACUGUUUAGCUUCAAACUGAACAGAUAAAUAGUCUGUAUUAUUUCAUUAUGUAUUAAAAAAUGAUUAAGCCUGCCUCAGGCAGUUCAGGCAAAGCAGGUAAAAGAUUAUCAAGGAGUAACAUUAGAAAACACUAAUCAGAGUGCCUAAAAAGCUUUAUGCGGUCCAGGUUGUACAGGGAUGUUGGAACAGUAAAACAAACAAAACAUUACAAGGUAUGAAGCGUUCGAGAUAGGUAGAAUAGAGCAGGUUAUAUUAGAGAAGUCUCUUCUAAAAUUGUGUUGGCUAGCCUGGGAUUUGAACUUAUACCGUGUAUGUAUGUCCAUGUGUAACAGGUUGAACAUGCAAGAAGCAGUGUUCAUAAAAGGUGGCAAACUUGUUUUACUUGUUUCUCAGUCUUUUCAGAUCAGUACUUAUAAAACACUGAUAUUUACAGUAAAUAUCUUAUAUUAAAUAUUAGCUAACCCUAUUAAAUUGUGUGUCCUUGUGCUGCAGUCAUUUAAUGACCUCAUUCUUUGGUAAGUUGGCAUGUGAUUUGAGAUAGCUCUAAGUGCUAAUGGAUUGUUUGAAGGAGUUAAAGGCAAAACCAGGAAGAGAAAACUAUUUUUAGGAAAAAGCGAUCAUACAACAGGCCUUAAAUAGAAGAAAUGAGAUAUCUCUAUCUUUACUAUGUAACCUUUAAUUCCUUACACAUUUUGACUUCAUAUUUUUUGUAUGUAAAUGAGAAUGUUAUAGUCUUGUAAAUUCCUUUUCCUCUGUGACUACAUUCAGUUAUUUAUUUUAUUGUGUGUUUGUGCAUGUCGGUAGAGCACAGUAUUUAGUAGAAUGAGUUAUUGGUUAAACCACCUGGAUUCAUUUGUAAAAUGGGGCCACCUGUCUCUUAAAUUGUAAUGAGGAUUUGAUUAGAUAAUCUAGAUAAAUCACUUAGCACAAGAGUCUCCAGCCCCCGGACUCUUGACUGGUACUGGUCUGUGGCCUGUUAGGCACUGGGCUGCACAGCAGGAGGUGAGCAGGGAGCAAGCUAGCACUAGGGCCCAAGCUCCGCCUCCUGUCGGAUCAGUGGCAGCAUUAGAUACUCAUAGGAGCACAGACCCUGUUGUGAACUGUGCGUGUGAGGGAUCUAGGUUUCGUGCUCCUUACAAGAAUCUAAUUAAUGCCCGAUGAGUUGAGGUGGAACAGUUUCUUCCCAAAACCGUCUCAGGAAACCUGUCCCUGGUGCCAAAAUUUGGGGGACCUCUGACGUAGCACACUAUCUGGCACAUACCAAGCACUCAGAAAAUAUCCCAUUUCUCAAAACUCAGUUCCAGUGUCAAGUCUUAAUAGUAUAUUGAUCUUGGAACUCCAAGGUAGUUGGUCCUCUCUUUGUGCCAUAAAUGUGCCUUGUACUCAGUAGUGCUAAAUUGCUAUCAACUAGUGCUAAAUGUACUACUAAUUCAUCUGUGUGUCCACUUCCCUUCUUAGAUUGUGAGCCCCUUGAGGACAGAGAUGGGUUUACUCAUAUUUAUAAAUUCAUUGGCAUGAUAAAUAUUUGCUGAAAGAAUAAAAUUGUAUUCUUAUGUUUUAAGCAGGGUCCCCUCCACCUCUGAGUGGAAGAUGGUCUGGGAGCAAAGGUGACAGGUCUUCUAAAAAAUCUGGCCACAUUCUCAACCCACCACACCCCCGCUUUUUUAAACAGCUAUUUAAUUGCCAUUGUAAUCCUAAGGAUUGGAUCAAUUUUUCACUUCCCUUUUUCACACUUUUUUCCUUUUACUAAGAAAAUAAAGUAAUAAAGUGACUGCCAAAUGGAGAAAACUGUCCACUAAAUAUGAAUUAAUAAGUGCUAUUAUCAGAAAUUGUGUAAAAGCAACAUAAUGGCACUAUAAAAAGGUAUUAUCUUAGAAUCAAAAACCUUGGGUUUAUAUUAUAGCCCUGCUACUUUCUAGUCAUAUGACAGUGAUCAAGCUAUAUUACCUCUUUGGCUUGACAAAAUAGGGGUCAUCUCUAUUUCUGGCUUGUUAUGAUUGAUGUGAAAUAUUCAUACAAACUACCACUGUGCCUGGUAAGUAGAAGACACUCAAAUAUGUCUUGGAGUUACAGUUAAUACUGUAUCGUUUAAAUUUGAGAAAAACCAACUUUAAAAAAUCACAUAGAUACAGUUGUUUACUGCUAGAAAUUUUAUUUAAAUUAGUUGAUACUCUUGGUUAGGUAAUGAAAAACAAUGGUUUUAUCUCCAUUAUGCUGUGAUAGGGAAGAGUAACACAGUUCAAAUGGCAAAGGCAUACCUGACAAUUAAAAUGCAUAGUUAAAGGCUAAUACUUCCUGAACACAAGAAGACAAGUCUCUACUUGAUACUACUCUCCACAGUUAAAUCAUUGAUACUUUGUGCCAUACAGUGAAAACAGAACCAUCUAGGUGUUCACGGAUUGUAUUUUUCCUUAUGAAAGGUAGAAGGUUAGAGAAAAUUAUUCCCAAUACAAUUAAUACAAAUAAAAUUGGUUAUUAGGUGCCUUUUAAUUAGGCAGUAAGGGCAUAUGAAGCUUCAUUACCUAUGAGAAUUUUGUCAAAAUUAUUUCCCAGUUACCAUGUUUUAAAACAGCCUCUCAGAAUUCCCCACUUCUAAUUUCUCCUUUCUAUUCUACCAAUUUUACUCCAUACCUUUUUGCUAAAUAAACAUUUUCUUCCAACUCUGAGUUUGGUGUUUUUUUCAUUUGAUCUGCUCUUCAAAGUGUAUCAGCUAGUGAUUGAAUUAGGCUAUGGUGUAACAGAGAACUCUAAGACAGUAGCUUAAACAAGAUUUUUUUUUUAACCCCUGAGUCUUGCUGCCUUUUUCACAAAGACAAAGCUUUUUCAGAAACUCCCAGCUUAUGUCUCAUUUGCCACAACUGCGUAACAUGGCUAUCUUUUAGCUGUAAGAGAUGCUGAGAAACAUAGUUUUUUUGCUGGGCAUAUUGUCACUGAGCAAAAUCAAAGUUUUAUUUGGAUUAUUGUACUUACAAUUCACCUUUUAUGGCAAUUUAAGUAGUCAUUUGUCAUAGAUUGGAGGAUUUCCUGGAAGGGUGAAGAACUUCUAUAUAGGUUACUUAUUCUGACUAACAUAAAUUAUCCUACCACCACAAUCCCAUAACUCUAAACUUACAGAGAUGUCAUAGAAAACAACAAAUAUACACACAGCUAACCACAAAAGAAAAAGGAAAUCCCAGCUGCCAGAAGUGAAGAAAAAACAGCCAGAAUAGUGAACUCAGCAGCUGAAGGUACACUGACCUAGGUGGAUGAUAGUGUUGGCUGUGGGUCUCACCAAUGGACCCUGAGACUUUAACAGCAAGAGAUAUGGCCUGACUAUACAGGGAAGCUGGGACUGAGACCUACACAAAGCCAAGACCUUAGAAGGUGCUCCAGCCUCAGGAAGGAGGAUGAGCAAACUUCUACACAAUAACCCAGGGAAGCUACAAAGUUGUCUGAACCCAAGACUUUAGGGUGGAGAAAGAGGAAGGUGUCUGUGAGAAAGAGUUGAAGUUUACAUUUCAGUUUUGCUUUCAGAAUAUCCAUGCUUAGCUUAAAAAUGUGAGGCACAUUAAGUUACUGGCUUUAAUAAAGGAAUGAAUGAAAUGUACAGAAGUAUGUGUUCUCGGGGCCUCUUUUAAAGUCAUUAGGGGAAAGAAUUGGCAUAUAUUCAGACGCAUUUGAAGAAAUUAUAUAUUUUUGGAGAUGGAGUCUUGCUCUAUCGCAUGGCAUGAUCAUGGCUUACUGCAGCCUCAAUUUCCUGGGCUCAAGUGAUCCUCCCAUGUAAGCCUCCCGAGUAGGUGGGACCACAGGCAUGUACCACCUUGCCUGGCUAGUUUUUAAAAUUUUUGUAGAGAUGGAGUCUCACUGUGUUGCCCGAGCUGGUCUCGAACUCCUGGGCUCAAGUGAUCCUCCCACCUUGGCCUCCCAAAGUGUUACGAUUACAGUCAUGAGCCACCAUGCCUGGCCUGAAGGAAAAUUUUAAAACAGAAGGAAUAAGCUAGAAUGCAGCACAGAAGAGGUAGAAAAUUGAAAGUAAUUCAUGGAAGAUCCAAUAUACAUAUAUAUUUUAGGAGUUUAAGGAGAAAACAGAAGGUGUGAGGCAGUUGUGAACUAACAGAAUGUGUAGUAUACAACUCUUGGUAGAGAAAUGGUACGCACUGAAGUUUUUGAGGCGUGGGGGACAGGUAGCUUCCUUCUCUCAUGCAUACUCCUGCUGCCAAAUUACCCCCUAACGGCUACGUUAUAAUGAAAACAGUUUCAUGCCAGCUUCUGUUAUAUUAACCGAGCAAGAAAACUGAUCUUAGCAUGUUCUGCAGGCUAAAGGAAAUUGCUCUUGGCCCAUUUAGGUGCUCUAACCACCAUCUUGCCUGAAAGGUUCCUUUAAGAAGCAGAAUUCUAUUACUUUAACAAAAGGUGUGUUCAUGGCUGGACAAGAGCCUUUUAGGGGGUUAGACUAGGACAUCAUCCCAAAAUAUAAGGGCUACAGGCCAUGCUGGAUUCUUAUGGCCUCUUCUUGCAAUGGUGGUAUGUGUUACUCUGCUAUUAGUCAGUCUGAAAACCUUUAAUCUCACCAUCGGAGGCCCAUUUAAAAAAUUACUUUAGCAGGUCACUAAUAAAAAUUUCUACCAUUUAGUAUGAAAAUUAAGACAUUGUAUGUUGAUCAAGAUGCAGUCAACAAUACCUAGAAUAGCUUCCACUAGAGUAUGCAUUCUCUGAUUAGAACACUAGUUCAUCUUCCUAGUGAACUGUUCUAUCAGGAUGGUAGCAAGACUUAAGCGAUGACUUUACAUAAGUUAUGUGUACCACACUGUGUAUACUGGAGUAUUUCCAUGUAAAUUACAGACAACAGCUAUACUGGAAGCAAUAAAUGGCCAAGAAAUUUCCAGAGUUGACCAAAGACAUCAGGAAUGAUACUUGCUUCCAGAAAAAGAACCAAUGUAACAUUGGCUUAAACUGUUGUGCUUUUGCUUUUCUUUCAGAUGUAGGCUGUCCAGGUGUCCGGUACUAUAACUCCACAAGAUCAGUAGGGCCCCAGGCUUUUUCUGUUCUUUAUGAUCCACUCUCUACCAUGUAGCAUUUGUCUUCAAGAUCAAAAAAUGGUGGCUGUAGUGCUCACAUUCCAGAUAAGGAAGAAUGGGCAAGAAACAAAAGAUCCACUCCAAAUGUGAUGGCAAAAUUAAGACUUUUGAGUGAAAAAUGGAAAUUUGUCUUCAGUACAUACACACUGAAAGAAAUGUUGAAGAGAGUUCUUCAGGCAGAAGCAAAAUCAUUCCAAGGGAAAUCCUGGAAUGCAGGAAUAAAUGAAGAGCAAUGGAAAUGGUAAAUAUGUGGGUAAAUUUGAAGGAAUAUUGGCUGUAUUCUGUGGUUUAAAAUAUCUGUGGAAUUAAAAUGCACCUACAAUAACGAGACAGGAGAAGUUUGUACUGGAGUUUGUCCUCAGGUUCUAGCAUUAGGUAGGUAAAUGGUAAGAUUACUUUUUUUAGACUAUGAAGACAAGGGUGCAUGUUGUAAUCUCUUAAGCACUAAAAGGCUAAUAGAAUGUAUACCUAACAAUUUAAUGGAGACAAAAGCAUUUAAAAGAAGGCAAGAAUAGAAAAGGGACAUAAAACAAAUGGGUCAAAUUUAAAGUUGCAAAAUAGAAACCCAAAUACUUUAAAUGAGUCAUUAGUUGAAUUAAGUUUAAAAAUUUAUCAGGCUGAAAAUUCCCUACUACAUGUUGCUUACAAGAGGCAUACUUUAAAUACAAGGCCACACAAAAAGGUUGAAUGUAAAUGGCAUAGGGAAAAAAAAACACAGCAAACCAAAUAAAAACAGUUUGAAUGUGGUAUUGUCAGGCAAUGAGAUUUAAGGCAAAAAGCAUUACCAGAGAUAAAGAGGGACAUUUUAUAAUGAUGAAGGAAUUAAUUCACCCAAAACACAUAAAGAUCCUAAAUCUGUAUGUGUUGAAAACAGAUUUGAAAUACAUAAAGCACGAAUGACAUAUAAGAAGAGAAAUAGGUAAGUGUCUAACCAUAGCUGGAGGCUUAUGCAGCUUUUUCCAUAGCUGAUAGACUAUCCGGACCCUACCCCCAAAAAAUCAGAUGCAGAGGAUCUGAACUUUACAUAUAUGAAUACUUGAUUUAAAAAACAUAAUUCACAUUUUCUUCAAGUAAAUUUAUCAAAAUUUACCCUAUUUUGAGUCAUAAAGCAAACCAAUAAUCUCAAAAGAUCAAAAGCAUUCAUCUUACAUUCUCUAACACAGUGGAAUUAAACUAGAAAACAGUAAAAAAGAUGAUUAGAGAAACCCGCAACUACUCUGAAAUUAUGUAAUAGAUUUCUUGAUAGUCCCUGGGUCAAAGAAUAAAACAAAUUUAAAAAUAUUUUCAAGUGAAUAAUAUGACAUACCAAAAAGUGUGUUGCAGCUGAAGCAGUGCGUGGAGGAAAAUUUAUAGAUUUACAUGCAUACAUUAGAAAAGAAGCAAGGCUGAAAGUCAAUUACCUAAACUAUUUUCAAGUAGCUGGAAAAAGAAGAGCAACGAAAUAAUAAAAGACAAAAAGUCAGUGAAAUAACACACAAUAGAGAAAGCCAAAAUGUUGGUUCUUUGAAGUCUAAAAACAAUAAUAACCUCUACUGUUUAACAUAUUUGAGAUAUUAGCCAAUAACGUAAGGCCUGAAGUAAAAAGAUAGAACGUUUAGAAAGAAGAAAAUAAUACCAUUUAUAGACAACUGGUUGUGUGCAUAGAAAUUUGAAAAGACUCAACAAACAAAAUAACUUAUCAAGGUCACUGAAUACAAACUAUACAGAAAUUGUAUUUCUAUAUAUCAGAAACAAAUAGAAAUUGAUAAAAUGAUACCAUUUACACUAGUGUAAAAUAAAUACAAGAAAUUUUCCAAUCAUUUAAGCAUUUUUUUUUUAAUUCUAAAUAUAUGGAUAUACCAUGUUCAUGACUUGGAAGUCAAUUUUGUAAAUUAAUCUGUAACUUCAAUAUAUGAUAUUAUCAAAAUCCCAACAGUAUGUUGGAGAAAUUAACAAACUGAAGAAAUGCAAAGGACCGAGAAUAUCCAAGAUAAACUUGAGCAAUAAAACUGAAAAAUGUUCACCAACAGACAUAAGACCUGUGAUUAUAAAAGUGUAGUUGUAAUUAACACUGUUGUUGGCUGGCAUAAGGAUAGACAAAUAGACCAAAGUAACAGACUAGAGCAAAGUAGACUAGAACAAAAUAGAACAAAGUAACAGAAUUCUGUAUACGUGGUGAUCCACACAUUUAGGUCAUCUGUGAUUUAUGAGAAAGAGAAACUAUUGUAAUGGUACAGUCAAUUAGAUAGCUGUAUUGGGGAAAAAAGUAGACCCCUUCCUUGAUACCAUAUAUAUAGAAAAAUCAAUUCCAUGUGGAAUAUGGUUUAAAUGCGAAAGGAAAUAAUGAAACAGGAGAGUGUCUUCAUGUUUUGGGGUAGGCAACUAUUUAAAGGACAUAAAGCAUAAAGGAACAUUUUAAACUAAUUUGUGGUGAUAGAAUCAGGGUAGAGGUUAUCACUCGCCUGGCAAAAUUAAUCAAUAAGAAAAGAUAACUUAGCCAGACACAGUGGCUCAUGCCUGUAAUCCUAGCACUGGGAGGCUGAGGCAUGAGGAUAGCUUAAGACCAGGAGUUCAAGACUAGCCUGGGCAACAUAGUGAGACCUUGUCUCUACAAAAAUUUUAAAAAUUAACUGGGUGCAGUGGCAUGCACUUGUAGUCCCAGUUACUUGGCAGGCUGGGGCAGGAGGAUCAUCUGAGCCCAGGAGUUUGAGCCUGCAGUGAACUAUAAUUGUGUCACUACACUCCAGCCUGGGCAACAGAGCAAGACCCUGCCUGUCUAAAAUUAAAAAAAAAAAAAAAAAGCUUGAUAUCAGGAAAGAAAUAAGGCAUGAAAACGGAUAAAAUUAAAAUUAUUUGAUUUAGAAAGUGAUUGUGAAUUUAUGUGAAUAAAUUUGAAAUUUUAGAUAUUUUUUGAUUAGUGUUGCCAAAUAUGUAUUAGUAAAUAAGUCUCAAUCUGUUUUUUAAAAUCUACUCUGAAUAAUGCACAAGCUCUGGAUGAUUUAUUAAAAUACAUUCAUUGUGACCAAGUAAGGAUUAUUUCCAUAUGGGAGAAUGAUUUAACACUGUAAAAUCUUUUCACAUAGUAUAUACCAUGUUAAUAGGUUAAAGAGAAAAGGCAUGUUACUAUCUCAGUGAAUGCAGGGAGUUGGAGGGGGAGAACCAGCAAAAUGCAAGUUAUAUUCACUUAGGAUUUUAAAAAUAAAACAUCCUCUUAAUAGAUGAAUAAACGUAUUAGUACGAUAAAUGAUAGCUUACCAAAACCCAUAGUUAUUGUUACAAGUUAAUGGUACAACUUUAGAGAUGUUCCUUAAUGUCAGCAAUAGUACAGGAAUGGGAUAUUGUAUUAAUACAUCUGUUCCAUGUUGCACUGGAGAUCUUGGCCAGUGCAGUGAGACUAGAAGAAUAAAUAAUAGGCAUAAAGACUGGAAAGAGAGAAUCAAUUAUUGUUAAUGGGCAAGAUCAUUGUUUAUUUGAAAGUCCAAGGAAAACUACAAAGUAGCAAAACUAAUGUGAGUGUUGAGAGAUUUUGGAUAUAAGAGCAAUCUGCAAGAAUUAGUAGUGUUCUUUUCCACUUCAGUGUGUUUGAAAGUGUAUUAUUUGAAAGAAUUUCAUUCACAAUUAAAACUCUAAGGGGACCUAAUAAUACAUCCAAUAAAAAUAUGCAAGAUUUUGUAGAAGUAGACUAAAAUGAAUGGAGCAGUAUUCUAUGUUAGAGAAUGGGAAAAAUCAGUGCAUUAAAGUACCAGUUCUCUCCAAAUCUAUAAAUUCACUGAAGUUCCAAUCAAAUUCUCAACAAAACUUUUUAUGGAAUUUAAUCAACCUAACCUGAAUGUGGAAAGACAAAGCUGAGAUUUUUUUUUUUUAAACAGGAAAAAUAGGGGAGUACCUAUCAUAAAAGACAGUAGGGCUUAUAAAACUAUAGUGAUAACACAGCCCUUGUGAUGCCAGGAUAGACAUGUAAAUCUAUGGUACAGAAACAGAUACAUGAGAACUUGAUACGUGACACAGUGGAGAAAUUAGUAACUUUUCAAUAAAUGGCACUAGGACAAUUGCAUGUCUGUAUGUGAAAAAAUUAUAUACCCUUCUCACACCAUAUUUUUAAAAACUGGUAGAUUAAAGACCUAAAUGUGGCGGAGGGGGGAGGGGGCGGGAAUACCAUUUUAAAUAUUUUAGAAGGUAAUACAGGAAAAUUUGAACCAAUGUAAGGAAGGAGUUGUUGGAUGUGACUCAAAGUGGGAACCAUGAAGAAAAAGAGUCACACAUCUGACUAUAUUAAAACUAGAAACUUAAGUAUGACAAAAGACACUGAAUAUUAGAGGGCCAGCCACAGACGUGGAAGGUACUUACCUUGCAAUUAUCUACCAGGAACUGACAAAGGAAGUGUCCAAAUUACAUAAAGGACUACUUAAGGGGGGAAUAAAUGAGUGAUAUAUGAGAGAGAACCAAAAGGUCAAUUAACAGAAAAAUGUUUUAGCUCACUAGGAGUCAAGGAAAUGCCAGUCAGCACAGUUAGAUACCAUUUCACAUCCAGUCAGAUAAUAUCAGGGAUUGGCAAACAUGUUGAGAAAAUAAUUCAUACUUUAGUAAAGUUGAAAUUACAUAUUGCUUAUAACAGCAGUUCAACAUCUGUCUUUUUAUAAGACUAAAGUUUUGCAUCAUAUUUAGGUACAGAAAUUGUCAGAACACUUAAAGCUUGUAGGCAUUUGUUGCUGGGAGAAGACUGAAUUGCUUUUUUCAAAAACUGGAAAUCACAUUGAUGUGUUGUAAAAGAGAACCUUAGAUUUAGAGAGGGAAAAAAAACUACAGUAUUUUGUUAAAUUUAUCUACAUUUAAAGAUACUAAUAAAUGCAGUUUAUGAACUACCAGUCUCCUAUAUUGGUCAUAUUUUGACAAGUAAAGCUUUUUUUUUCAUAACGUCAAUAUUCACACAGAGGUUACAGUUCAGAUUAGGAGAACAUAUGUAUGAUAAAACAAUUAGACUAAAAAGGUCCUUUCUUUUUAUAUGAAAUGGCAGAAAAGCAACAGCAGUUUAUUGCUUAUGACAGAAUACAUAUGAUACUCGAAUAUUUCUUGAGAUCUUUGCUUAAAUCUAGUAUCUAUACAAAAUUUUUAUGUUCGCUAGAUUGUAAAUUCAGUUUUCUUACUAAGAAAGACUGAAAUUUAUUAAUAAUUUUGGGGUUCUAGUGAUUAGCAUUAGAGACUGAUUUGCUUUUAAAGAGAAUCGCAUAUUUUAUAUAUUUCCAAUUUUACAUACUUCUGAAAGAACAUAACUUUGUCAUUAAUAUAUGGCAUAUGUAUACAAUGAAAAAUGUACAAGGAUGUUUCUUACAGCAGUUAUUGAAAUAGCAGGAAGAAAAAGGUAACUUAAAAGACACUUAGCACUAGAGUCUCCAGUCACAUCUACUCCCUGGCCCAUGAACUAAGAACGUUUUUAACGUGUGUAUGAAAGGAGUGACUUAAUAGAUCUGGCGUGUUGAAACCUGCACCUUUCAAAGAAAGGUCUAGCCCUCAACUUGCUCCUGGGAGAUCACAGCGCUAAGCCCCUGGAAUAUCCUGCCUGAUGCAAGGCCUUUGUUUACCUGGGGCCUUGGAUCACACCAGAUAGUUUAUGCUACAGAUUUAUGGUGAGGGCAUUGCACCUUGCAGUAUCAAUUUAAUCGCCGGGGGAGGUGGAAACUGAAUAACAUCUGCCAUUUCUGUUCUCCAUGCCUAUGUGACUAACACCCAAUAAAAACCUUGGACACCAAGUCUCAGCUUCCCUGGUUGAUAAUAUUUCAUAAAUGACCCACACUCAUUCAGAGAGGAUUAAGUGCUGUGCAUGCAUCUCCUGUCAGAUGGGACAACUGGAAGCCUGUCCUGCUCUCUUCUGAACUCUUUCCUAUCUGCCUUUUAAAACUGUACUGAUUUUAAACUGUACUUUUGCUCUAAUAAACUAAUUGUCAACGUAA